UCAAGCUAUAAAGAGCGCAAGGGGAAUGCCUUGGCAUCAGGAGCCGAUGAAGGACGUGAUAAGCUGCGAUAAGCUUCGGGGAGCUGCAAAUGAGCUACGAUCCGGAGAUUUCCGAAUGGGGAAACCCACCGAAAGGUAUCCUGUACUGAAUCAAAUAGGUACAGGAAGGGAACCGCCUGAACUGAAACAUCUAAGUAGGGCGAGGAAAAGACAUCAACCGAGAUUCCGCGAGUAGUGGCGAGCGAAAGCGGAAUAGGCCAAACCGGAGGUAGCAAUAUCUCCGGGGUUACGGACAGCAACAUGAAGAAAGUUUUCUAAAAGAACGGCAUGGGAAGGCCGGCCACAGAGUGUGAGAGCCACGUAUUUGAAAAGGAUCGUAAUCUGGCUGUAUCCAGAGUACCGCGGGACACGAGGAAUCCCGUGGGAAGUCGGGGGGACCACCCUCCAAGCCUAAAUACUACCUGAUGACCGAUAGUGGAGCAGUACCGUGAGGGAAAGGUGAAAAGAACCCCGGGAGGGGAGUGAAAUAGUACCUGAAACCUUGUGCUUACAAGCAGUCACAGCCCGUUAAAGGGUGGUGGCGUACUUUUUGUAGAACGGUCCGGCGAGUUAUAGUAACUGGCGAGCUUAAGGUAUUGAGUACCGGAGGCGAAGCGAAAGCGAGUGUUAAGAGCGCGUAUAGAGUCAGUUGCCAUAGACCCGAAACCAGGUGACCUAGCCAUGUCCAGGCUGAAGUGGAGGUAAAGCUCCAUGGAGGGCCGAACCCACGUUCGUUGCAAUGACCGGGGAUGAGUUGUGGCUAGCGGUGAAAUUCCAAACGAACUUGGAGAUAGCUGGUUCUCCCCGAAAUAGUUUUAGGACUAGCGUUGGGUAUGAGUUUAACGGCGGUAAAGCACUGAAUGGGCUAGGGGGCGAUAAGCUUACUGAACCCUAUCAAACUAAGAAUGCCGUAUAAAUGCUUACCAGCAGUCAGACUGCGAGUAAUAAAAUCCGUAGUCAAAAGGGAAACAGCCCAGAUCUACAGCUAAGGUCCCUAAUACAUGCUAAGUGGAAAACGAUGUGAGAUUGCGAAAACAACCAGGAUGUUGGCUUAGAGGCAGCCACUCGUUCAAAGAGUGCGUAAUAGCUCACUGGUCGAGUGAUCUUGCGCGGAAAAUUUAACGGGGCUAAGCAUGUAACCGAAGCUUAGGGUUUACGCUUUGCGUAAGCGGUAGGGGAGCGUCGAAUACGGGGUGAAGUCAUACCGAAAGGAAUGGUGGACUGUAUUCGAGUGAGAAUGCCGGAAUGAGUAGCGAGAAUUAUGUGGGAAUCAUAAUGGCCGAAAGUCUAAGGUUUCCUGGGGAAGGUUCGUCCGCCCAGGGUAAGCCGGGAGCUAAGGCGAGGCCGCAAGGCGUAGUCGAUGCACAUACGGUAGAAAUUCCGUAGCCGGCUCAAUCGUUAAGCAUACUGACACAUGAGAGUAGCUCUACCGGGCGUUGGUUGCCCCGGGCGUAAGCGAGCCGAAUGAGGCGAAGUGAGUAAAUCUUGUGGCGAGAAAAGGUGUGUGUAUUGGUUGGGCUGCCCGUACCGCAAACCGACACAGGUAGAUGAGGAGAAGAUCCUAAGGCCAACGGGAGAAGGGUUGUUAAGGAACUAGGCAAAUUGACCCCGUAACUUCGGAAUAAGGGGUGCCUACGAAAGUAGGUCGCAGAGAAUAGGCCCAAGCAACUGUUUACCAAAAACACAGGUCUCUGCUAAAUCGAAAGAUGACGUAUAGGGGCUGACGCCUGCCCGGUGCUGGAAGGUUAAGAGGAGGACUUAGUGGCAACACGAAGGCCCGAAUUGAAGCCCCAGUAAACGGCGGCCGUAACUAUAACGGUCCUAAGGUAGCGAAAUUCCUUGUCAGGUAAGUUCU
rnacentral:rRNA from 1 species